GGGCACAUGGUGUAGUUGGUUAUCACGCUUGCUUAGCAACUUUUGAAUGAUUUGCAAGAGGUGUUGGGUUCAAUUCCCAAUGUGUCCA